rnacentral:rRNA from 1 species
GACGGGUGAGUAACGCGUGGGUGACCUGCCCAUAAGUGGGGAAUAACAGUUGGAAACGACUGCUAAUACCGCAUAAGCUGAGCAAUCAGUAAAGGAGGCUUAACAGCUUCCGCUUAUGGAUGGGCCCGCGUCUGAUUAGCUAGUUGGUGGGAUAAAAGCCUACCAAGGCGACGAUCAGUAGCCGGCCUGAGAGGGUGGACGGCCACACUGGGACUGAGACACGGCCCAGACUCCUACGGGAGGCAGCAGUGGGGAAUAUUGCGCAAUGGGGGAAACCCUGACGCAGCGACGCCGCGUGAGCGAAGAAGGCCUUAGGGUCGUAAAGCUCUGUUUUAAGGGACGAAAAUUCGCAGGAGUAACUGCCUGUGAAGUGACGGUACCUUAAGAGAAAGCCCCGGCUAACUACGUGCCAGCAGCCGCGGUAAGACGUAGGGGGCGAGCGUUGUCCGGAAUUACUGGGCGUAAAGAGCACGUAGGCGGGAUAACAAGUCAGGUGUGAAAGACCGUGGCCCAACCACGGGGUUGCAUUUGAAACUGUAAUUCUUGAGGGCAGGAGAGGAAAGUGGAAUUCCUGGUGUAGCGGUGAAAUGCGUAGAAAUCAGGAGGAACACCGGUGGCGAAGGCGACUUUCUGGACUGACCCUGACGCUGAGGUGCGAAAGCGUGGGUAGCAAACAGGAUUAGAUACCCUGGUAGUCCACGCUGUAAACGAUGGAUACUAGGUGUGGGAGGUAUCGACCCCUUCCGUGCCGCAGCAAACGCAAUAAGUAUCCCGCCUGGGGAGUACGGUCGCAAGGCUGAAACUCAAGGAAUGACGGGACCGCACAA